GCGUACCUUUCAACGUACCUCGUCGUGUGUCAACAUCUACAUAAUUGAUGAUUUUUGGGUUUUGGCAGUAAUAAGUAUAUUUCAAACCAAAUCUCCCAGUUCUCAGCAAUUCUUCAAUUCAACGGUGUAAUUUCUCUUUUAGAGUGAGAAAUACACCUACCCAAAUUCACUUUUUUCUCACAUUUUUUUUAAUUUUUAUUUUUAUAUACACACACAGUAAUCCCAUUGAUCUCUGUCCGGGCGUUGAAUUGGCAGCACAUACUUGCCCAAUUAAAAUUUUUGUUCAAUCACUUCGCGGCCUAAUUUUGCUUCCGCCAUUGACGAUUUAGUUGCACUUUCUUUUUGGAAAUUUCGCGAAUUAUUGACUGAAUCGUGGUUUUGAGGAACUAAUUGGUUCAGAACUGUUGGAAACUUUUGGGCGAUAUUGAUUUGAUUGCAAUUAAAUUUUGAUGAGUUUUUUAGGCUGGUGUUGAAGAGUGGAGGUCAGAAAAUGAGCACUGUUAGACAAUCGGUUAGCGUCCGUGACCUCGUGGAGGAAGCUAAGAAGAGAAGUGUGUUUUUUAUCAUAUGCGUUGUUGGACUGUCCUACCUCAUGUCCUGUAAGUGAUUCAUUGUUUGUCCAAUAUUUGUUGUUUUAUUGCUACUUUCAAUGGAGAUUAUAAUUCUGCUAUAGCCUUUUUUCUUUUUAAAUUAGAAGAUAAUUUGCAUUUGAAUAAUACUAUGCAUUGAGGAGAUUUCGCAUCCGUUUUCCCUGUUCCUAGCGAUUGAAGCAUUAGGAUGUUAAAGAUUGCUGAGUUUAUGGAGCUGUUUAUUGCACCAUCUUAAAACUUCGCCUACAGUUAGGAAUGUUGUGUGUUUUCCUUCAUUUACCAUUCCUUUCCUCAAUGAAGUAAGCAUUAGGUUUUGGUAAGGUCGGAUCUAGAUUUGUUGUGUUGUAUGCAACUGCGUUUGCAAGUGGUAAAUCUAGCUUAACAUUUUUCUAUUCAGUAUAUUAAGGAUGUUAUGAAGAUUUUGAAUUACAAGUAUAUAAUUGUUUUUUUCCUGUUUGAAACGUGAAAAAGUUAAAAAUCCUGAAGUAACAAGGGUGAUGCUAUCCAAUACAAGAGGUUUGUAGAGGGAGUAAACCAAAAUUAGCGUACCGAAUGUGAUUGUGAGACUGCAUGGAUCUUCCAUUAAAUUUAGGAUAGACUCAACAGAAUGGAGAAAGCAAUUCAUACAACUGACCCAAAUUGGGAAUAAAUAUUAGUUAUAACCAAAAUGAGAAAAAUAUGAGAAAGCAAAUGGAGAGCUUUUAUACUACAUCUUUUUGCAUUGGACCUGCUGCUUGGAGAACUUUUAGGGUAAUUUGAAAUAGGGAAUGCGUCAUUUAUGGUGACAAGAAAAAAUUGAGAUCCAAGAAUUUCACACCAUCCUGAUUUAGAUUCUUAUUUUUGGAAGAAACUUACAUUUUUCUCUUCUGUGUUUCGUUGUAAAAUUCAGAGUUAUAUUCAUUUCAUUUUAAUCAAUGUGAAUAGGCAUAACAGACCAAUCAACAAUUGUGAACCAUUCCAGAACUCUUUUACGUACUUGAACUUUAGCAUUUUAUUGUUAUUCAACUCGUUAUUUUUUUAUUUUAUCGAAGUGCCAACCCACAUGAUCAUCUUCGUCUUUAACUGCACUGAUGAAUGUUACCUAAAAUGUGCUUAAAGCUGGUUAACUAGAAUUACAUUUGUGUAACUCAUAUUUUCUUUCAGUUCUUGUUAUGCUGUAUGAGAUGUUGUAAUGUCCCAUUUUAUUCAACACACUUUUGCUUCAUUCUUUAAAGAAGGCAAGUUAAGGAAUUAGUCUGUUGCUAUGAGCAUUUUGUGGACUUCAUAUUUGACAGUUGUAGUACUUGAUUCUAGAGACUUGAUUUACCCUUGUUUAAUUUGCCUAUUCUUCCUAGAAGACCAUUUUACAAGCUAGUCAAAUUGUAAUUUGCCUAUUCUUCCUUGAUUCAGUUGCUGGUGUUUUAUGUCUAAAAAUCCACAAGUAGAUUCACCGUUAUGGCAGCUGCUACACAUGGGCCAAGUCGUUGUCGUCCCCUUUGUCAAUAGACUCAAUACUAUAUAUUCCUCCCUUUUCUGUCUUUUUAUUCAGAAACAUGUUGGGCCCAACUUAUUUAUGAACAAUUUCCAUAUAUAAUCUCUAGAGUAUCACACAUUUUCGAUGUUUCACCCAACUCCAUGCUGUACACAAAAUUAGCAGAAAGAAUUCUAAUUGGGAUCCUGACCUGAAAUUGUAAGUCAACGAAAGGUUGAAAUUUCAUGCGCUUGGAUCAAAACAUAUAAAAUUUAUCUUGGAGAAGUUUCUAUAACUAGCAAGUAGUUCCUCUUACUAAUUUUAUCGCUUGAUUUUACUGAUUAGCAAUAUUAGUAACAUCCAAUUUGCAUGGAUUGCACUUUCUGUCAUUCGCGAACCUCCUCUCCAUAAACCUCUCUCCCACUCAAAAGAAGGAAGAAAAAAUUAAGCAUUACAGAACUCACCCUAAACUUUUUAUUUUUUCAUCUUGAAGGAAGCAUUAUGCUUUCAGGAGCCUCUCCUCAUUUCUGAAAAAGGUUUCUCCUUUAGCUCUAAUGUCGACAUGGAUCCUUAAAUUAGUGGAUAAUUCAGGUGACAUGGAGACAUUUGAAAUCUUGUAUAUAUACCUACUUCUUUUUGUCCUAGUUUUCCUUGACAAAUAACUUUUUUUUUUGGCACAUCUCUAGCUCCAGUCUGCAGGAUUGUGUAAUCUUCUUUUUACUCUGUGUGAUGAAAAACAUGUGACAGCAAUGUAUCUAACUAGUGUGCAGUGAUGAAGGGAAGGCAGAAGGCAUGCUUUGUUAAAUAUAUCUUUUGAAGGUUUGACACAAUUCUUUAGGGGUGUUUACAUAUGAAGAUGGUAAUCUGACAGCAAUGCUCCCAAGUUAUGAGACCUUGCUUUGUCAGGAGUACUGCAGUGGGUUUUAUUUUAUUUUUUUUAUUAUUUAUCUAAAAGAGCUUACGUGGAAACUUGAAGUUUUAAUGCUUAUCCAUCCGAAGGUUUUAUACCUUUAUAUUGACCAAGAAAAGCUGAUGUAGGAAUUCUACUAGAAUUCAAUUAUUACAUCUAGUUUACGAUUUAAUUACACUUGGUAAUUUGGAUUCCUAGUAUUUAUAGGUUUCAAUUAGUUUUUAUUAUUUAGCCAAUAGGAUUUCUACUUCUAUCAGAAAUAGGUUAUUUGUUUUUUUUUUCCUUUUUAGGAGAUUUAUUUAUUUUUACUUAGUCUACUAUAAUUAAGAUAUUACGUCUUCUUCCAAUAUAAUCACAACUCAUAUUCAUUAUAUUUAUUCUAGAUAAUAUUCUUAAACUUUUUAUUGUUUUUACAAGAUUUAACAUCCGCUGCUGCACAAAAUUGGUAUCAAAGCUUAUCUGAGCUGAUGACUGAGGAUGGUACUUGU
rnacentral:lncRNA from 1 species